AGAGUUUGAUCAUGGCUCAGAUUGAACGCUGGCGGCAGGCCUAACACAUGCAAGUCGAGCGGCAGCGACAUUAACAAUCCUUCGGGUGCGUUGAUGGGCGGCGAGCGGCGGACGGGUGAGUAAUGCCUGGGAACAUGCCUUAGUGUGGGGGAUAACCAUUGGAAACGAUGGCUAAUACCGCAUAAUCUCUACGGAGCAAAGCGGGGGACCUUCGGGCCUCGCGCGCUAAGAUUGGCCCAGGUGGGAUUAGCUAGUAGGUGGGGUAACGGCUCACCUAGGCGACGAUCCCUAGCUGGUCUGAGAGGAUGAUCAGCCACACUGGAACUGAGACACGGUCCAGACUCCUACGGGAGGCAGCAGUGGGGAAUAUUGCACAAUGGGGGAAACCCUGAUGCAGCCAUGCCGCGUGUGUGAAGAAGGCCUUCGGGUUGUAAAGCACUUUCAGCAGUGAGGAAGAUGUGGUGUUUAAUAGAUGCCAUCUUUGACGUUAGCUGCAGAAGAAGCACCGGCUAACUCCGUGCCAGCAGCCGCGGUAAUACGGAGGGUGCGAGCGUUAAUCGGAAUUACUGGGCGUAAAGCGCAUGCAGGCGGCGUGUUAAGCCAGAUGUGAAAGCCCGGGGCUCAACCUCGGAAUCGCAUUUGGAACUGGCAUGCUAGAGCCUUGUAGAGGGGGGUGGAAUUUCAGGUGUAGCGGUGAAAUGCGUAGAGAUCUGAAGGAAUACCGGUGGCGAAGGCGGCCCCCUGGACAAAGACUGACGCUCAGAUGCGAAAGCGUGGGGAGCAAACAGGAUUAGAUACCCUGGUAGUCCACGCCGUAAACGAUGUCUACUUGGAGGUUGGUGUCUUGAACACUGGCUUUCGGAGCUAACGCGUUAAGUAGACCGCCUGGGGAGUACGGUCGCAGAUUAAACUCAAAUGAAUUGACGGGGGCCCGCACAAGCGGUGGAGCAUGUGGUUUAAUUCGAUGCA
rnacentral:rRNA from 1 species